GGGGUUGUGGCUCAGUGUUAGAGUACUCACCUAGCACAUGUGAGGCACUAGGUUCAAUCCUCAGCACCA
rnacentral:tRNA from 1 species